CGUCAAGAUAGUAAGGGCGUACGGUGGAUGCCUUGGCACCAGGAGUAGAUGAAGGACGUGAACGGCUGCGAUAAGCCGCGGUGAGGCGCUGAAUAGCCUUUGACCCGCGGAUUUCCGAAUGGGGAAACCCGGCGCUGGUAAUGCGGCGUCAUCUGUCGGUGAAUACAUAGCCGGCAGAGUGCAAGCGAGCGAACUGAAACAUCUAAGUAGCUCGAGGAAAGAAAAUCAAACGAGACUCCCUGAGUAGUGGCGAGCGAAAAGGGAUCAGCCCAAACCGACCCGUUGUAAGAGCACAUUCGUUGCCGGGUCGGGGUUGUAGGAAGUCUGUCCAGAGCAUGUGCGCUCUGGCGGCAGUUACCAAGUCAGGUGUUAGUCGAAGCGAGUGGAACCUCGCACCACAGAGGGCAAACGUCCCGUAGACGAAAACGCACUGACCUGCCGAUGACUUUCCUGAGUAGGACCACACCCGUGAAACGUGGUCUGAAUCUGGGGGGACCACCCUCCAAGGCUAAGUACUCCCUGGUGACCGAUAGUGAACUAGUACCGUGAGGGAAAGGUGAAAAGUACCCCGGAAGGGGAGUGAAAUAGUACCUGAAACCAUACGCCUACAAGCGGUCGGAGCAUCUUCGGAUGUGACGGCGUGCUUUUUGCAUAACGAGCCUGCGAGUUACUCUUCAGUGGCAAGGUUAAGCGAUGAGCGGAGCCGCAGCGAAAGCGAGUCUGAAUAGGGCGACAUAGUCAUUGGAGGUAGACCCGAAACUGAGCGAGCUAUCCAUGGGCAGGCUGAAGCGUGGGUAAGACCACGUGGAGGGCCGAACCGACCUAGGGUGAAAACUGGGCGGAUGACCUGUGGAUCGGAGUGAAAGGCUAAUCAAGCUCAGAGAUAUCUGGUUCUCACCGAAAUAUAUUUAGGUAUAGCGUCGAGCGUUAUAUGUUGUGGCCGUAGAGCACUGCUUGGACUAGGGGCCCCACCAGGUUACCGACUUCAGGCAAACUCCGAAGACCAUUACAUUUAGCUCGGCAGUCAGCGCAUGGGGGAUAAACUUCAUGUGCGAGAGGGGAACAACCCAGACCGUCGGUUAAGGUCCCUAAGUACUAGCUAAGUGGUAAACGAUGUCCGAAUGCAUAGACAACCAAGAGGUUGGCUUAGAAGCAGCCACCCUUGAAAGAGUGCGUAACAGCUCACUGGUCAAGUGUUCGGGCGCGGAUAAUGUAACGGGGCUAAAGCUAGUCACCGAAACUACGGGUUCACAACCCUGCGGGGUUUGUGAGCGGUAGGUGAGCGUUCUCAGUGUGUAAGCGUUGGCGUAAGCCUUCGUGCGGUGCUGAGAAGUGAGAAUGCAGGCAUGAGUAACGAAAGAGGAGUGAGAAUCUCCUCCACUGAUUGUCCAAGGUUUCCUGAGUAAAGUUCGUCUGCUCAGGGUUAGUCUGGACCUAAGGCGAGGCCGAAAGGCGUAGUCGAUGGCUAACAGGUUGAUAUUCCUGUACCACGUAGCAUCCGUUACCACCGAUGUGGGGACGGGGAAGGGUAAGUGAACCCAGGCGAUGGUUGUCCUGGGGCAAGUACGUAGCCAGUCGCUGUAGGAAAAUCCGCAGCGGCGUUUUUACGCGAGGUGCGAUGCCAGCUGGAUUGAGUUCCGGCCAGUCACUGAGCCCAUGCCUCCUAGAAAAGCCACUAGGGAGGAUGCACGUGCCAGUACCGAUAACCGACACAGGUGGACACGUAGAAGAUACUAAGGUGAGCGAGAUAACCAUCGUUAAGGAACUCGGCAAAAUCGCCCCGUAACUUCGGGAUAAGGGGCGCCUCGAUAGGGUGAAGUCCAUACGGAUGGAGCUCGAGGAGGCCGCAGUGAAUUGGUCCAACCGACUGUUUACCAAAAACACAGGGCU
rnacentral:ncRNA from 1 species